GUGGGGAAUCUUGCGCAAUGGGCGAAAGCCUGACGCAGCCAUGCCGCGUGAAUGAUGAAGGUCUUAGGAUUGUAAAAUUCUUUCACCGGGGACGAUAAUGACGGUACCCGGAGAAGAAGCUCCGGCUAACUUCGUGCCAGCAGCCGCGGUAAUACGAAGGGGGCUAGCGUUGCUCGGAAUUACUGGGCGUAAAGGGCGCGUAGGCGGACAGCUUAGUCAGAGGUGAAAGCCCAGGGCUCAACCUUGGAAUUGCCUUUGAUACUGGCUGUCUUGAGUUUGGGAGAGGUGAGUGGAACUCCGAGUGUAGAGGUGAAAUUCGUAGAUAUUCGGAAGAACACCAGUGGCGAAGGCGACUCACUGGCCCAAUACUGACGCUGAGGCGCGAAAGCGUGGGGAGCAAACAGGAUUAGAAACCCUGGUAUCC
rnacentral:rRNA from 1 species